rnacentral:rRNA from 1 species
AUGUUGCGGCUGUCAGAGGAGGAUGAUAGGGUGGUGGCGGAGUUCCAGGCGCUGUACGCCGCCGCGAGGGAGGCGGGGUUCGGCCGCAUCUUCCGCUCCCCCACGCUGUUCGAGGACAUGGUCAAGUGCAUCCUCCUCUGCAAUUGCGAUGUAGCUCUAUUGAUGAUGAAGAUUGACAGAUCUUUUAUGCUUGUGUUUGAUUUGAUGCCAUGUCAACUUGGUUGCAUAAUCAUGAAGUAA